UACGGGGGUGCGAGCGUUGUCCGGAAUCACUGGGCGUAAAGGGCGCGUAGGUGGUUUGAUAAGGGUGUGGUGAAAGUCCGGGGACUCAACCCCGGAUCUGCCGUGCCGACUGUCAAAGCUCGAGGGCUGUAGAGGCAGACGGAAUUCCUGGUGUAGCGGUGAAAUGCGCAGAUAUCAGGAAGAACACCCGUGGCGAAGGCGGCUCACU
rnacentral:rRNA from 1 species